rnacentral:rRNA from 1 species
UACAGAGGGGGCGAGCGUUGUUCGGAAUUACUGGGCGUAAAGGGCGCGUAGGCGGCCUCUUAAGUCGAACGUGAAAUCCCCGGGCUCAACCCGGGAACUGCGUCCGAUACUGGGAGGCUUGAAUCCGGGAGAGGGAUGUGGAAUUCCAGGUGUAGCGGUGAAAUGCGUAGAGAUCGGGAAGAACAUCAGUGGCGAAGGCGGUCUGCUGGGCCGUUGCUGACGCUGAGGCGCGACAGCGUGGGGAGCAAACAGG